AUGUGGGUGUGGGUAAAGAUUUGGGGUUGUGGGAACACGUGGGGAUGUGGGGCAGAUGGGGGGAAGAAGGGAUGUGGGGCAGAUGGGGGGCGUGGGGGCAGAUGUGGGAUGUGGGGCAGAUGUGGGAUGUGGGGCAGAUGUGGGAUGUGGGGCAGAUAUGGAGAUAUGGGGGUGUGGGUAAACAUGUGGGGUCUUGGGAACUGGUGGGGAUGUGGGGCAGCAAUGGCGCCUUGGGGACACUGCUGUCCCCAUGCGGUGGCACUUGGGGACACUGCUGUCACCUGGAGGUGGCACCUUGGGGACACUACUGUCACCUAGAGGUGGCACUUGGGGACACUGCUGUCACCUCUGGCUCCCACAGGACAGCAUUGGCGCCUUGGGGACACUGCUGUCACCAUGAGGUGGCACUUGGGGACACUGCUGUCACCCAUGAGGUGGCACCUUGGGGACAGUGCUGUCACCUCUGGCACCCACAGGACAGCUAUGGCACCCUGGGGACACUGCUGUCACCUAGAGGUGGCACUUGGGGACACUGCUGUCCCCCAUGAGGUGGCACUUGGGGACACUGCUGUCACCUCUGGCUCCCACAUGACAGCAUUGGCGCCUUGGGGACACUGCUGUCACCUGGAGGUGGCACUUGGGGACACUGCUGUCACCUAGAGGUGGCACUUGGGGACACUGCUGUCACUUGGAGGUGACACUUGGGGACACUGCUGUCCCCUGUGAGGUGGCACUUGGGGACACUGCUGUCACCUGUGGCACCCACAGGACAGCAAUGGCACCCUGGGGACACUGCUGUCACCAGGAGGUGACACUUGGGGACACUGCUGUCCCCAAUAUCUGCGCAGCGCUGUCACCAAAGCACCAUAACCGAACCCUGGGGACACCGCCGUCCCCUUUACCCCCCUCCCCCCUUUAUCCCCAUGCUGUCCUCACCCGGGUGUCGCGUUGUCCCCAACGUUGUCCCCAAAUUGUCCCCAAAUUGUCCCCCCCCAGGCGCAGCUGGCCUUCCUGCAGGGCGAACGGAAAGGCCAGGAGAACCUGAAGACGGAUUUGGUGCGGCGCAUCAAGAUGUUGGAGUUCGCCCUGAAGCAGGAGAGGUGCUGGAUUUGAGGGGAGGGGAGGGGAGGGGGGGUCCAUUUUGGGGGAGGGGACAGC
rnacentral:lncRNA from 1 species